rnacentral:rRNA from 1 species
AGCGGCGGACGGGUGAGUAACGCGUGGGUAACCUGCCCUGUACACACGGAUAACAUACCGAAAGGUAUGCUAAUACGAGAUAAUAUGCUUUUAUCGCAUGGUAGAAGUAUCAAAGCUCCGGCGGUACAGGAUGGACCCGCGUCUGAUUAGCUAGUUGGUAAGGUAACGGCUUACCAAGGCGACGAUCAGUAGCCGACCUGAGAGGGUGAUCGGCCACAUUGGAACUGAGACACGGUCCAAACUCCUACGGGAGGCAGCAGUGGGGAAUAUUGCACAAUGGGCGAAAGCCUGAUGCAGCAACGCCGCGUGAGCGAUGAAGGCCUUCGGGUCGUAAAGCUCUGUCCUCAAGGAAGAUAAUGACGGUACUUGAGGAGGAAGCCCCGGCUAACUACGUGCCAGCAGCCGCGGUAAUACGUAGGGGGCUAGCGUUAUCCGGAAUUACUGGGCGUAAAGGGUGCGUAGGUGGUUUCUUAAGUCAGAGGUGAAAGGCUACGGCUCAACCGUAGUAAGCCUUUGAAACUGGGAAACUUGAGUGCAGGAGAGGAGAGUGGAAUUCCUAGUGUAGCGGUGAAAUGCGUAGAUAUUAGGAGGAACACCAGUUGCGAAAGGCGGCUCUCUGGACUGUAACUGACACUGAGGCAUGAAAGCGUGGGGAGCAAACAGAUUAGAUACCCUGGGUAGUUCCACGCCGUAAACGAUGAGUACUAGCUGU